rnacentral:rRNA from 1 species
GAAUUUUGGACAAUGGGCGAAAGCCUGAUCCAGCAAUGCCGCGUGCAGGAUGAAGGCCUUCGGGUUGUAAACUGCUUUUGUACGGAACGAAAAGCUUUGGGUUAAUACCCUGGAGUCAUGACGGUACCGUAAGAAUAAGCACCGGCUAACUACGUGCCAGCCGCCGCGGUAAUACGUAGGGUGCAAGCGUUAAUCGGAAUUACUGGGCGUAAAGCGUGGGCCGGGGGGUUUGGUAGACAAGGGUGAAAUCCCCGGGGUCAACCCGGGAACUGCCUUUUGGACUGCAAGGGUAGAGUACGGCAGAGGGGGGUGGAAUUCCGCGUGUAGCAGUGAAAUGCGUAGAUAUGCGGAGGAACACCCAUGGCGAAGGCAACCCCCUGGGCCUGUACUGACGCUCAUGCACGAAAGCGUGGGGAGCAAACA